UACGGAGGAUGCAAGCGUUAUCCGGAAUGAUUGGGCGUAAAGCGUCCGCAGGUGGCUGUGUAAGUCUGCUGUCAAAGAGCAAAGCUCAACUUUGUAAAGGCAGUGGAAACUACACGGCUAGAGUGCGUUCGGGGCAGAGGGAAUUCCUGGUGUAGCGGCGAAAUGCGUAGAGAUCAGGAAGAACACCGGUGGCGAAGGCGCUCUGCUAGGCCGCAACUGACACUGAGGGACGAAAGCUAGGGGAGCGAAUGGG
rnacentral:rRNA from 1 species